AUGGGACUCCUUGAAGGUGAGGUUCGUCGGUGCCGAUCGGGUCCGCGCGGCGAGGCUGGCGACGCUGCGCGGCGAAUUCGACCGCCUGAAGAUGGCGGAUGGCGAGGAGCUCGACGUGUACGGCGGGAGGCUCGCGGCGAUGGCGGCGAGGUACGCCAACCUCGGGGAGGCGCUGGCGACGCAGCACUUGUCAAGAAGUUGCUGGAUACGGUGCUGGAUCGCCUCUUCCCCGUCGUCGCCGGCAUCGAGCAGUUCCACGACGUGACGACGAUGGCGUUCGACGAAGCGCUCGGGCGGCUGUGUGCGUUCGACGAGCGGGUUCGGCGCCGUGGACAAGACGGUGGCGAGCGCGGGGGUGAGCAGCUGCUCAUGACGGCGGCGCAGUGGGCAGCACGGGAGCGUCGACACGGCGGUGCUCGGGACGACGACGACGGGUGCAGCGUGGCGUCGGGGAGCGGCGGCAACAGGCGCAGGCGCUGCUACAAGUGCGGGGAGCACGGGCACUUCCGGCGCGAGUGCCCGCAGCUGCGGAAAGGACCGGCGGCGGAGCAUGCACUCUUGGCCGGCGCAACGUCGACGACGACGGACUCCUCUAGGCCGUGGCUUAGUGGGUGUGUGUUGGAAUAA
rnacentral:rRNA from 1 species